rnacentral:rRNA from 1 species
UACGGGGGGGGCAAGCGUUGUUCGGAAUUACUGGGCGUAAAGGGCUCGUAGGUGGCCAACUAAGUCAGACGUGAAAUCCCUCGGCUUAACCGGGGAACUGCAUCUGAUACUGGAUGGCUUGAGAUUGGGAGAGGGAUGCGGAAUUCCAGGUGUAGCGGUGAAAUGCGUAGAUAUCUGGAGGAACACCGGUGGCGAAGGCGGGUCUCUGGGCCGAUAUCGACGCUGAGGAGCGAAAGCGUGGGGAGCGAACAGG